GACGAACGCUGGCGGCGUGCUUAACACAUGCAAGUCGAGCGGUAAGGCCCUUUCGGGGUACGACGAGCGGCGAACGGGUGAGUAACACGUGGGUGACCUGCCCUCAGCUCUGGGAUAAGCCUGGGAAACUGGGUCUAAUACUGGAUAUGACUCCACGGUGCAUGUCGUGGGGUGGAAAGCCUUGUGCGGCUGAGGAUGGGCCCGCGGCCUAUCAGCUUGUUGGUGGGGUGAUGGCCUACCAAGGCGACGACGGGUAGCCGGCCUGAGAGGGCGACCGGCCACACUGGGACUGAGACACGGCCCAGACUCCUACGGGAGGCAGCAGUGGGGAAUCUUGCGCAAUGGGCGAAAGCCUGACGCAGCGACGCCGCGUGAGGGAUGACGGCCU
rnacentral:rRNA from 1 species